AGAGUUUGAUCCUGGCUCAGAAUGAACGCUGGCGGCAGGCCUAACACAUGCAAGUCGAACGGACCUUUCGGGGUUAGUGGCGGACGGGUGAGUAACGCGUGGGAACGUGCCCUUUGGUUUGGAAUAGCCCCGGGAAACUGGGAGUAAUGCCAAAUAAGCCCUUCGGGGGAAAGAUUUAUCGCCAAAGGAUCGGCCCGCGUUGGAUUAGGUAGUUGGUGGGGUAAUGGCCUACCAAGCCGACGAUCCAUAGCUGGUUUGAGAGGAUGAUCAGCCACACUGGGACUGAGACACGGCCCAGACUCCUACGGGAGGCAGCAGUGGGGAAUCUUAGACAAUGGGGGAAACCCUGAUCUAGCCAUGCCGCGUGAUCGAUGAAGGCCUUAGGGUUGUAAAGAUCUUUCAGUGGGGAAGAUAAUGACGGUACCCACAGAAGAAGCCCCGGCUAACUCCGUGCCAGCAGCCGCGGUAAUACGGAGGGGGCUAGCGUUAUUCGGAAUUACUGGGCGUAAAGCGCACGUAGGCGGAUUGGAAA
rnacentral:rRNA from 1 species